GUAGCGAGGGGCGGGCGCCCGCGGGGUCGCUGCCGGGCCUCGCUGCCGAAGCGUCUCCACCCCGUGUGGGUGACUUUAAAGUUUAUCGUUAAGGCCGGGUGUCUCUGAGGCGGGUGGGUGGUGGCGGCGUGCAGCCAACGGGCUUCCCCCCUCCCCCCCCCGGCGCUGCUCCGCGUCGGUGUCAAUCCCGUUCUAAAGUCCGCGAAUUCCGGCUCGGAAAUGGCGUUCUCUACCGUCAGGUCCUGCCCUGGGGGUUAAGGGUGCGUUUUGGCACUUUAAAUCCCCAGACAUCUCAGUUUUUAAAGUCCACGCACAGGAAGAGCGGGAUACAAACAACUUCACAAACGCGUAUCUCCCCUUCUAAAUACCCUAUUAAUUCAAAUAUCACUUUCUUGCUUUUUGCCACCUCCUCCUCCUCGCAGAAUUAUGGAUCCAAGUUUACUGAGAGAGCGAGAGCUCUUCAAAAAGCGUGCCCUCUCCACACCAGCAGUAGAAAAACGUCCAGCGCCAUCUUCUGACUCCUCCUCUUCAAAAAAGAAGAAAGCAAAGGUAGAACAAGGUGGCUCCUCCAGCUCAAAACAAAAUACAGAUCACAGCAAUGGAUCAUUUAACUUGAAAGCCCUUUCAGGAGGCUCUGGCUACAAGUUUGGAGUCCUCGCUAAAAUAGUGAAUUAUAUGAAGACUCGGCACCAGCGUGGUGAUACACAUCCACUAACCCUAGAAGAGAUUUUGGAUGAAACUCAGCAUUUAGAUAUUGGACUCAAACAGAAGCAAUGGUUAAUGAGCGAGGCUCUAGUCAACAAUCCGAAAAUAGAAGUUGUAGAUGGGAAGUAUGCUUUCAAACCCAAGUACAACUUGAAAGAUAAAAAGGCUCUGCUCAGGCUCUUGGACAAGCAUGACCAGCGAGGGCUGGGAGGAAUCCUGUUAGAAGAUAUUGAGGAAGGGCUGCCCAAUGCACAGAAAGCUAUAAAGGGGACCAGAUCAUCUUUGUUAAUCGUCCUGAUAAGAAGAAAAUUCUUUUCUACAAUGACAAGAGCUGUCAGUUUACUGUGGAUGAAGUUUAUUAAUCAUGUGCCUUUUAUUGGUGAACGCGACGAGAAGCCACAAACGGAAGAGAAGAAGGAAGCAAACAGGGAGGAGAUAAUUUCAGAAGCUGUGGAGGAGCAUUCCCGUGGAUUCUAUGGAUGAGGAGAAAAUUGAAGAGUAUCUGAAACGACAGGGUAUUUCUUCCAUGCAAGAAACUGGACCAAAGAAAAUAGCUCCUAUUCAGAGGAGGAAGAAACCAGCUUCUCAGAAGAAACGUCGAUUUAAGACUCACAAUGACCACUUGGCUGGAGUAUUAAAAGAUUACUCUGAUGUCGUUCCUGGCAAACAGUGACCGGUUGAAUUCUGGAGCAAACAUGCGUUUUUAUAAAGGCUUUUUGCCACUCGGGCUCCGUGUCUGCUCGCAGAAAGACUGACUGUAUAUAGUAAUGUGAUGUGUUUUCCCCCAUCCCAGCAGCUGCCGAGAUGAAGCAGGUCGGUUUAAGAGCAAGUAUGAACUACUAAAUUUAGAGUUUAAUUUAAUUAGCUAAUGGGAAAUGUGUCUUUAAGUAAGAGGUUCUCUCGCUAGUUGCCUCUUGGCAUUAGAGUGAUAAUGGUGCUCAGCAUGUAAUGCAGGAGUUCCUGUUCAGUGCUUAACUCUGCUUUUACAUUGCUUAAUGGGUAUGUACCUGGAAUUAGGAGGGGCUUUCUAGCAGAAUCGAAUACAGCGUUUGUUUUACCUAUUUCAGGAAAACCUUUUCCUAAAAUCACUGCAGGCAAGUUUUCUUUCACAGUCAAAUACACCCACGGUUGGUAUGCUUCUUCCUUGCCAUGGGACUGAGCUGUACUGAACGGCUGUGAUAUCUGAGGCUCAAACUCAGAAAUAUCCCGCUCCCACGCUCCCAGUGGGCUGCAGGAUGGCAGUGCAGCUGUGGCUUCCUAAUGCUAAUCAGAAAUUGCCCUCGGCGAUUUCUCGUGGCUGUAGUGGAUGCACGUGCGUUGCACAAUUCUACUCUAUGGACAGGAGGGAAAUAAAAUGACAGUGUAAUACUGAAGCAAUAUUUUUUUUUUUUUUUAAGUAAUAAACUUACAAUGCUGGUUUCCAGUGUUGCUUCCUUAAAGAAUGAGAGAAUGAACAUCUUUUGUGCUUGCUGCGUUUUCGUUUUCAAGGAGGUAAAGGAAUCUUUGCUAUAUUUUUGUCUUCUCGAUGACUUAUUAUUCUGGGCUGACACUGUCAUCUUUUUAUCAUUCUUGGUUGUGGAGGGGGAAGGAGCCACCUUAAAUGAAAGCUCCUUGUAGAUGCCUGAUGUUCUAUGCAGUACAGACUAACGUGGAACAUGGCCAGAUUAUGUCCUCUUGAUAACUUCUUUUUAUGUACUGAACCAGAGUCAAUCAAUGCUGAUGUUGUUUUCAUGGCACUGCGGGCGAGGAGCUGUUUUUCUGCUCUUCUAGGGUUAGGAUCAAAGAUGAAAUAGGUGACUGCGAUAUCCCACCGACAGUAGGUUGCUGCUGCGCGCACGUGAGCUGUUGUCUUGCUUGACGUAUCGGGGGUUGAAGCAGAGGCCGUUGGAUCUGGACGCACGAACAAAUGAAGAAUAAGGCUUUGUUGCUGUCACAUUGAACGAGUUAUGUCUGCUUGGGGAAGCACAGGAGGAGGAAUAUACUUGUGUAAGUGUAGCGUUUAUCCUCUUGAUUUUAAAGACUGCUCUUUUGAGAAAGAGACGAUACUUCCAGCAUUGCACAUCAGCCCUGUGUGAAGAGUUGCUAAG